rnacentral:rRNA from 1 species
UACAGAGGGUGCAAGCGUUAAUCGGAAUUACUGGGCGUAAAGCGAGCGUAGUCGGUUAUUUAAGUCGGAUGUGAAGUCCCCGGGCUCAACCUGGGAAUUGCAUUCGAUACUGGAUAGCUAGAGUUCGGCAGAGGGAAGCGGAAUUUCGGGUGUAGCGGUGAAAUGCGUAGAUAUCCGAAGGAACAUCAGUGGCGAAAGCGGCUUCCUGGACCAGAACUGACGAUCAGGCUCGAAAGCGUGGGGAGCAAACAGG